rnacentral:rRNA from 1 species
UACGUAGGGUGCAAGCGUUGUCCGGAAUUAUUGGGCGUAAAGGGCUCGUAGGCGGUUUGUCGCGUCGGGAGUGAAAACGCCGGGCUUAACUCGGUGCUUGCUUUCGAUACGGGCAGACUAGAGGCAUGCAGGGGAGAACGGAAUUCCUGGUGUAGCGGUGAAAUGCGCAGAUAUCAGGAGGAACACCGGUGGCGAAGGCGGUUCUCUGGGCAUGUCCUGACGCUGAGGAGCGAAAGUGUGGGGAGCGAACAGG